rnacentral:rRNA from 1 species
GGUUGAUCCCGCCGGACCCCACUGCUAUCGGGAUAGGACUAAGACAUGCUAGUCGAGCGCCUCCCAGCCACGACGGGGGCGCGGCGUACAGCUCAGUAACACGUGACUAACCUGCCCUCGGGACGGGAAUACCCCCCGGGAAACUGGGGCUAAUCCCCGAUAGGUGAAGAACUCUGGAAUGAGUCUCCGCCCAAAAGACGCUUAAAUCAUGCUUUUAGGCGCCGCCCAAGGGUGGAGCCGCGACCGAUCAGGUAGUUGGUGAGGCAACGGCUCACCAAGCCUUUAACCGGUGCGGGCCGUGAGAGCGGGAGCCCGGAGAUGGGCACUGAGACAAGGGCCCAGGCCCUACGGGGCGCAGCAGUCGCGAAAACUUUGCAAUACACGAAAGUGUGACAGGGCUAUCCCGAGUGCCAUCCGCUGAGGAAGGCUUUUACCCAGUCUAGAAAGCUGGGAGAAUAAGGAGAGGGCAAGCCUGGUGUCAGCAGCCGCGGUAA